rnacentral:rRNA from 1 species
GUAGUUAGCCGUGGCUUCCUCCUCAGGUACCGUCAUUAUCGUCCCUGAAGACAGAGCUUUACAACCCGAAGGCCGUCAUCACUCACGCGGCGUUGCUGGGUCAGGCUUGCGCCCAUUGCCCAAUAUUCCCCACUGCUGCCUCCCGUAGGAGUCUGGACCGUGUCUCAGUUCCAGUGUGGCCGAUCAGCCUCUCAGCUCGGCUACCCAUCGUUGGCUAGGUGGGCUGUUAUCCCGCCUACUACCUAAUGGGACGCGAACCCCUCCCAAAGCGGAUUGCUCCUUUGACCCCUUCGCCAUGUGGCGUUGUGGUCUUAUGCGGUAUUAGCAUCUGUUUCCAGGUGUUAUCCCCCUCUUUGGGUCAGGUUGUUCACGCGUUACUCACCCGUGCGCCACUAAGAUCUCGCUCCCAUUGCUGUUCACAAGAUCUCCGUUCGACUUGCAUGUGUUAGGCACGCCGCCAGCGUGUCUNAGCAUGAUNAACUACUAGA